GGCGAGUCCCUGAACAUUCAGUGAGUCCCUGAACAUUCAGUGAGUCCCUGAACAUCCAGGCGAGUCCCUGAACAUCCAGGUGAGUCCCUGAACAUUCAGGCAAGUCCCUGAACAUUCAGGCAAGUCCCUGAACAUUCAGCGAGUCCCUGAACAUCCAGGCGAGUCCCUGAACAUCCAAGCGAGUCCCUGAACAUCCAGGCAGUCCCUGAACAUUCAGGUGAGUCCCUGAACAUUCAGGGAGUCCCUGAACAUCCAGGCGAGUCCCUGAACAUUCAGGCGAGUCCCUGAACAUUCAAGUGAGUCCCUGAACUCUGUACAAGCCCUUCAGACAAACGAACGUAGAAAAGAUGAAGAUAUUAAAGAUGAGGAGUAUUAAAAAGGCAAAAACAUUAAUGACCCCCACCCCCCCGCCCCUACCCCUGGAGUGACAUCAUCAUGACAUUCAGAAAACAUUAUGAACAGAAAUGGUCCAGAAGAGACAAAAACAAACAUCAGCAGUCAUUCAGUGAGUCACUGAAAAGCAGCCAAUCAGAGGAGAGGACCUCAUAUGUUUCCUGCGUCCUGAUUGGCUGAGAGAUGUGAGUUUUGAAUGUGAAGGGCGGCUGAGUAUUUUUACAGUGUAGCUGAGGAGCUGCUGCCCUCUGGUGGUGAACAGAAAUAUACACACAGAUAUCUGCAGUAUAUACAAACAGAUCCUCCGUCAGACGGACGUCUCCAAUCCACCGCUGAUUAUUAAAAACAUCUGAGUCACAGUUUUCACUCUGGAGGUUCACUUCCUGUUUACAUUCUGUUCACUUCCUGUUUACAUCAGUGAGUCGACCUGGGAGACCGACCUGGUUCUGACAGAUUUGAGACCUGAACAGGACCUGAGACAACAGGAUGUUUCUGAGUGCAAUGCAUCUUGGGAGUCGUAGUUUAAAGGCUCUCUGCUUUGUAGUUCACAUCUUCUUCAUGUUUCACAAUAAAAGCCUCCAGCGUUCUGUCCUUUCCUGGAGGGCUUUUAUUGUGAAACAUCUCUCAGAAAUAUGGAGGUUGGCAAGUUUACAAAAUAAAAACAACGAAGUCAAAAUAAAACUUCAGGUUUCUGAUUAAAGUCCAUUUAUAGAUUCUUUUUAUUAAUAAUUAUUAAACUCAUUAUUUUAAUUAUUAAUUAUUUUUUAACUUCGAUGAAAUGUGAUUGGUCUGUUCUUUUUUUCCCCUCCAAAUUAAAAAAGUUAAAAAGAAAA